rnacentral:lncRNA from 1 species
UAAUCUGGCAUCACAAUAAAAAGGAAUUUUGCUACCAUGGAGUUCUGAAAAGGCUGGAUUUGGAGAGUUGGGAGAGCUAUCCAAGACCAACAGAAAUGAUCGAGCAAGCUCAGACAUAUUCAUUUGCACCUAGAAGCAGUGGUACCUUCUAGACAGCGUAUUCUCAGAAGAAGAAAAAAAGAAUGCUGGGUAGAACAGAGUGGAAUAAAGUAGACGCUGAAGAAAGGCUGACAAAAAAAUGAAACUCCUGCAGCAUUUCACUCUGGCCAAGCAGAAGAGCAUCAAUUUCUUCCUUCAAAGAGCAUUUACUAAGAAUGUGCUGUUCGGGCGACAGAUGCUGUGAGAGGAACUGAAUCUAAGCACAUAGAUGAAAGUUUAUUCCCCCACACGGUCCAGGCAUUUCUCUGCGUCACCACCAUAUCUCUUUGGUGAUCACUGUUGUUAAAUAACUAAUGAUAUUUAGGGCGCAUCUUCCUGUGAAACCUGUCAAUUACCUUUACAGUGGGCACAAAAGAGAAGAAGAUUGAAGAAAAUAUAGGUCUCAGGUUCUCCCCAGAAAUCUUCUAGAUGUAAUACAAGAAGGGGAGGGAGCAUAAGUGUAUCUUAGUAAUUAGAAUUGGAUGAAUUUGGCAGAUGUGAUGCAGCCUGGCCUCUGAUGAUAUAUUGGUGGAGACAACUUGAGCCUUGAGCCACAUGGUCUUUCAUAUUUGGCUCAGGAUGAGCUGUUUGCUUGUUUCCUUCACAGAGGCACUGUGUUCUGUCAAUAUUGCCGUAUGCCAAAAGCUG